AGCUCAGCUGGAUAGAGCAACAGCCUUCUAGGCUGUGGGUCAGGGGUUUAGCGCGACAGGAUGUCGCAAAGUCUGCGCGGCCACGGAUGGCCUGGCGCAGACCGACUCCCUUCGUGC
rnacentral:tRNA from 1 species